UUUUGAGAGUUUGAUCCUGGCUCAGGACGAACGCUGGCGGCGUGCCUAACACAUGCAAGUCGAACGUUUCGUACUUUCGCAAGAAAGUGUGAAACGUGGCAAACGGGUGAGUAACACGUAAGCAACCUACCUCAAAGACUGGAACAACCCCGCGAAAGCGGGGCUAAUUCCAGAUGUGUUUCCGAUGACUCAUGUUGUCGGAAAUAAAUCCCGCAAGGGGCUUUGAGAUGGGCUUGCGGCCUAUCAGCUAGUUGGCGGGGUAACGGCCCACCAAGGCGAUGACGGGUAGCUGGUCUGAGAGGACGACCAGCCACAAGGGAACUGAGACACGGUCCCUACUCCUACGGGAGGCAGCAGUGAGGAAUUUUCCGCAAUGGGCGAAAGCCUGACGGAGCGACGCCGUGUGGGUGAUGAAGGCUUUCGGGUCUUAAAGCCCUGUCAGCAGGAACGAUAUUGACGGUACCUGCAGAGGAAGCCCCGGCUAACUACGUGCCAGCAGCCGCGGUAAUACGUAGGGGGCGAGCGUUGUCCGGAGUUACUGGGCGUAAAGG
rnacentral:rRNA from 1 species